GCCAUGCCCGGUCAUUUCUUGAAUACCUCCAGUGAUGGUCAGUCCACCAUCUCUCUGGGGAGCCUGUUCCAAUGUUUAACCCUUGUUCCUGUGGAGGAAUUUCUCAUGAUGUCCAACCUGAACCUCCCCUCCCUUGAGGCUGCUUCCUCUUGUGCUGUUGUCCACAAAAACCCUGAUUCAUUACCUGGUGUGCAACAAGCCAAUAAUUAGCCACUGUGGACAACACUGUCAUAGGUUGUCCAACCCCCGCCUCAUUACAACCACUUUUCAGGAAGAUGGAACACAUCCAUUUUGGGGUUCCCUGCAAUAUUAGAUUCAUUGCACCAUAGAAAAAGGGGACAGAGAUGGGCCAAAAUGUUUUACAUACUACUUAGAUGCAACCAAGGUGAGAAAUCAUAGCUUCACUACAAAGCUCCUCCAGAUUGGUGGAGAUAAACUCACUUUUUCAUUCCAGCAAGUUUCUGUGUUCAGAUACAGAGGCAUUGGAUCUGAGUUCAUGCACCAAACAGAAGCAAUACAGUUCUGUGUAUUUUCUGCUGUGUACCAGCUCGUGAUUCCCACAAGGAAAUCCUUGUACUAGGAUGAGGACAGCAUCCUAUCCAAUUCAAGCAAGACAGUGGUUCUACUGAUGGACAAAUAAAACACUUGGAGGAUUUUAAACCCAAGGACAGUGCUUAAAAAAUAAAAUGGUAAUAAACUGUCCAAAACAAGUGCACUCUGGAAAUUCAAAGAAAAGAAUGAAUCUUCAUUUAAAGACUGAGCUUCAGGAAUAUCUUGUCCAUAUGCAUAGUGGGGGUAAGCAGUUAUGUCAAAGUCUGUCUUGCCAGGAGGAGUUUGUGACAACGUGGGAACUGCUCAGGAUUCUUGACUUACUCCUGGUCAGCUGCAGUGUGACACACCUGUAUGUAAAUGCUAUGUGUGUUACUUGUGUGUGUGUGUGAACCUCUGACAAGCACAUUAGGCCUUGAUUUCCUUCCUAGGAAAUACUAAGUGAAAUUAAAUCUUCUCUGACUUUUCUAGAAGACGGUUAUGAAUUAAUUGUCAUAGCUUCUUUUAAAGAUUGCCUAAAGUCAGGGAUGAUGAUGAUGACUGUGGUUGACAACUCUGAUUCUUAGCUGCUUUCUCAAAAGGGUAUUGUUCACCCAUGCAGAAGACAAAAAUUCUUUGCUGUGCAGAGGAAAACUUGAAAUUAACUCCUUUCACAGCUGGAGACAACUAUAAAUUUCACCUAUUUCUUUCUUCAGUGUAAGAUACUUCUUUUUUCAUCUUCUUUAUAUGGACCUGCAACUGUUAAAAAAAAUUAAAAACCUCCCUAGUCCCUUAGAAAUUAUCACCCAAUUAAAAAAACACUAAACUUGAUAUGCUUGAGUAUAUUAGUCAUGAUUACAAUAUAAGACUUGUGUGAUGCUCCAACCUUACUGUUUCCUUUAAUAACUGUUUUGCUUUAAUAAAGACAAUUUUUUACUCUUCA